GUGCUUGCUUUAGUAGCACAUAUUCUAAAAUUCAAACAACAAAGGAGAUUAACUGGGCCCUGGCACAAGGGUGUACACAAAUCCGUGAAGGAGUCCACAUUUUUA
ensembl:snRNA Gm26371 U6 spliceosomal RNA